CCUACGGGAGGCAGCAGUGGGGAAUAUUGGACAAUGGGGGGAACCCUGAUCCAGCCAUGCCGCGUGUGUGAAGAAGGCCCUCGGGUUGUAAAGCACUUUCAGUGAGGAAGAACGCCUGGUGGUUAAUACCCAUCAGGAAAGACAUCACUCACAGAAGAAGCACCGGCUAACUCCGUGCCAGCAGCCGCGGUAAUACGGAGGGUGCGAGCGUUAAUCGGAAUUACUGGGCGUAAAGCGCGCGUAGGUGGCUUGAUAAGCCGGUUGUGAAAGCCCCGGGCUCAACCUGGGAACGGCAUCCGGAACUGUCAAGCUAGAGUGCAGGAGAGGAAGGUAGAAUUCCCGGUGUAGCGGUGAAAUGCGUAGAGAUCGGGAGGAAUACCAGUGGCGAAGGCGGCCUUCUGGACUGACACUGACACUGAGGUGCGAAAGCGUGGGUAGCAAACAGGAUUAGAUACCUGAGUAGUC
rnacentral:rRNA from 1 species